UACGGAGGGGGCGAGCGUUGUUCGGAUUUACUGGGCGUAAAGGGUGUGUAGGCGGUUGCGCAAGUCUGGUGUGAAAUCUUCACCGCUUAACGGGAAGAGGUCACUGGAAACUGCGUAACUCGAGUGUGGUAGAGGCAAGCGGAAUUCCUGGUGUAGCGGUGGAAUGUGUAGAUAUCAGGAAGAACAUCUGUGGCGAAGGCGGCUUGCUGGGCCAUCACUGACGCUGAGACACGAAAGCGUGGGGAGCAAACGGG
rnacentral:rRNA from 1 species